CUGCGGAAGGAUCAUUACCGAGUGCGGGUCCUUUGGGCCCAACCUCCCAUCCGUGUCUAUUAUACCCUGUUGCUUCGGCGGGCCCGCCGCUUGUCGGCCGCCGGGGGGGCGCCUUUGCCCCCCGGGCCCGUGCCCGCCGGAGACCCCAACACGAACACUGUCUGAAAGCGUGCAGUCUGAGUUGAUUGAAUGCAAUCAGUUAAAACUUUCAACAAUGGAUCUCUUGGUUCCGGCAUCGAUGAAGAACGCAGCGAAAUGCGAUAACUAAUGUGAAUUGCAGAAUUCAGUGAAUCAUCGAGUCUUUGAACGCACAUUGCGCCCCCUGGUAUUCCGGGGGGCAUGCCUGUCCGAGCGUCAUUGCUGCCCUCAAGCCCGGCUUGUGUGUUGGGUCGCCGUCCCCCUCUCCGGGGGGACGGGCCCGAAAGGCAGCGGCGGCACCGCGUCCGAUCCUCGAGCGUAUGGGGCUUUGUCACAUGCUCUGUAGGAUUGGCCGGCGCCUGCCGACGUUUUCCAACCAUUUUUUCCAGGUGACCUC
rnacentral:rRNA from 1 species